rnacentral:rRNA from 1 species
AUUGAACGCUGGCGGCAGGCCUAACACAUGCAAGUCGAGCGGUAGAGAGAAGCUUGCUUCUCUUGAGAGCGGCGGACGGGUGAGUAAUGCCUAGGAAUCUGCCUGGUAGUGGGGGAUAACGUUCGGAAACGGACGCUAAUACCGCAUACGUCCUACGGGAGAAAGCAGGGGACCUUCGGGCCUUGCGCUAUCAGAUGAGCCUAGGUCGGAUUAGCUAGUUGGUGAGGUAAUGGCUCACCAAGGCGACGAUCCGUAACUGGUCUGAGAGGAUGAUCAGUCACACUGGAACUGAGACACGGACCAGACUCCUACGGGAGGCAGCAGUGGGGAAUAUUGGACAAUGGGCGAAAGCCUGAUCCAGCCAUGCCGCGUGUGUGAAGAAGGUCUUCGGAUUGUAAAGCACUUUAAGUUGGGAGGAAGGGCAGUUACCUAAUACGUGAUUGUUUAGACGUUACCGACAGAAUAAGCACCGGCUAACUCUGUGCCAGCCGCCGCCGUAA